GCGCAGCAGUUGCGAAAACUUGUCAAUGCACGAAAGUGUGAACGGGCUACCCCGAGUGCCGUCCGCUGAGGAUGGCUUUUCUCUGCUGUAAGAAGGCAGAGGAAUAAGGAGAGGGCAAGUCUGGUGUCAGCCGCCGCGGUAAUACCAGCUCUCCGAGUGGUAGGGAUGAUUAUUGGGCUUAAAGCGUCCGUAGCUGGCCUUUCAAGUCUCUUGUUAAAUCCAGCGAUUCAAUCGUUGGACUGCGGGAGAUACGGUUAGGCUAGGGGGCGGGAGAAGCCGACGGUAUUCCCGGGGUAGGGGUGAAAUCCCAUAAUCGCGGGAGGACCACCAGUGGCGAAGGUUGGUGGCUAGAACGCGCUCGACGGUGAGGGACGAAAGCUGGGGGAGCGAACCGGAUCAGAUACCCCGGUAGUCC
rnacentral:rRNA from 1 species